CACGUAGGGUGCGGGCGUUGUCCGGAAUUAUUGGGCGUAAAGAGCUCGUAGGCGGUGUGUCGCGUCGGCCGUGAAAAACCUGCAGCUUAACUGUGGGCUUGCGGUCGAUACGGGCAUCACUGGAGUUCGGCAGGGGAGACUGGAAUUCCUGGUGUAGCGGUGAAAUGCGCAGAUAAUCAGGAGGAACACCGGUGGCGAAGGCGCCUAUCUGGCCCGAUACUGACGCUGAGGCCGCGAAAGCUAGGGGAGCAAACGGG
rnacentral:rRNA from 1 species